GUGCUCCUUUUUGAAGUGGCAGCACACACGAGCAGAUGCGUGCUCUCCUCGCUGCGUACAGGCGGCGCCGCCGCGGGCGCUCCUCGAUCUAUACGGGCGGCGCCGCCGCCACCUGCGGCUGGUCUUCUUCUCCAGCCAUCUGCCGCCCUUCUCUCCUCCCAAUUCGCUGCCCUCCUCUACACUCCCGCCCCUAAUCUUCUCUGGCCCUACCCCAGCCUCCUUGAUCUCCAGCCUCCUGCUGCCGUGCCUCGAUCCAUACGGGCGUCGGCGCCGCCGCCGGCUGGUCUUCUUCUCCGGACAUCCGCCGCCCUCCUCCCCUCCCCCUCCCCCCUAAUCUUCUUCUUCUUCUCCGGCCAUCCGUCGCCCUCCUCAAAUCCCGCGGAGUUCGCCGGAGGAAGAACAUCCGCCGUCCGAACGUGCUACACCAGGGCGAAGCACCGGAAAGAGGACGUUUCUAUGCAGCAUAACCCAAAAGUUUAAUUUGAGGUUGUACAGAGGAUUUCCCUUGUUUCAGGUUGUACAGAGGAGCUCAACGACAACUGAGGUGCUGCUAGAAUUAUAUCAGCUACUAACUUACGUACAUAUAAAAAAAACUGCAGGUCUAGCUCCAUGUAGUAAUGACUAAGUAUAUUCUAAUGCUCAUAGGUACUGAUUACUAUUUUUUACAGGCUAGUUUAAUCAAUUCAUUGGCGUACUUUAGGAAACAAGGAUAUAUUGGGUGGUCUCCGACCGCCCGUCGACAAUACAGAGUCGUCGUAGUUGGGUUGUGUUCAUGUAACACUGAAACUUGACAUAGUUAAUAUAAGAAGAAAUCUCUUUUCCAGAAACUCCAAUUCUGCUCAUAGGAAUUGAGAUGCCCAAUAUUUCUCAAUUUGCUGACAAGGCUGUAAUAUAUGUAUGCUUUACACAUGUCGAUCCAUUGGAAGAGUAUUUUCAAGGAUUCUGCUGCUUACUAAUUGUUUACAUCCAUUGCACAAACUAAGUGGUAGGGGGACUGUUCCCUCUCAUUAGAGCUAAAACAUAUCUUCGUAUUUUUAUAAGGUAUUUCUCCCCAAAAUUUUACCCAAACCUUUCCCAUGAAGUAAUAUAUUUCAAUAUGUUUUUAAACUUCUAAUUAGGUACAAUACAUUAUUGUUGUGGUGUUGAUCAUAUUAACCACGAAACAAGGUUUUUAUUUGUUUGAGUUUUUAUCCUGUAAUAAUAUAAUCUCAAAAUUAAUAAAGUCGCCAUGAUGGCUUUUCCUCACAAAAAAAAUCCUCACAAUCGAGUACUAGCAUCGGGGUGUGGCUCAUCGGGGUUCAGCAGAUGAACUGAUGAACACAGCAGGAAAGGAGGCUGAGGAGGGAUAGACUCUUUUUAUUGGCCGGGUUGUGGUGAGAACAUAAGAGAGAGCAUCGGGGUGUGGCUCAUUGCUUCAUAUGCUGCUACCGAUAUAUGUAGAGUGGUAAUAGACGGCGAGAUUGGAUAGUGCUCAUAUGACAGUCGGACCAUUGUCCUUUCUGUGAUGAGUUAGAGAAUAUUGCUCUCAUGUGUUAAUCAGCUGAUCCUCCUUAGCCUUCCCGUGGUCUGAACUUCAAAGUUUUCAUCCACUCAAUGCUGAUUCAGUCAAAGAUCUGUGAGAAGAAACUUAUUUCAACAAGAUUCACUCUACUUUGCUUAUCGCGGUCCUCUGGAAUAUAUGGAAGCGCAGGAACUCCAAGUUCUUCCGGGAUGUUUUUGAGGAAUUGCACAUUACUGCUAGCAAGAUUGCUGAUGAUCUUAUGUUGUGGUCCAACAGUUUUAUGAAGUGGUUCAGGCCGGUGUAAGCACGCUAUUGUCCCUGAAAAAAAUCCGGCGAGUGAUGCCUCACCCUCUCUGAACUGAAUAUUAUGUGCUUUUGUACUACUCGAAGAAGCCAAACACAGUGAAGCAUCUCUGUUGGCUAGCAUCCCUGAUGGGAAAUUUGUUGUCUUGCUGAUGGAGAGAUGGAGUUGGAGUGGCGGCUCAAAACUCUAAUCUUGUUGUCUUGUUCGGUGAAGUGAUUGCAACAUUGUUUUGUUUUGUUCUAUGCAUGCUUCCAUGCCGGUUGAAGUGAUUCUGCCAGUCAAUUGUAUGAACUUAAGUUACCUGUGUCAUAUGAGACUGCUGCUACUAGGAACUCUUAGGUUAUCAUUUAUUUUUAUGGGUAUACUCAUGGCCUGAUGCAUUAUAUGGCUAUUAUUUGUGUCAACUUUAGUGUUACUAUAACUUUUAUUUUUGUUGUAACUGUAGAAAAAUAGAUGGCAGAACUGAACAUUGCAGAGGAUUUUGAUAACCGACCUUAAAAAAAAGCAAAAAUUUCUGAAUCAGGUGUUUUGGAGCCAUCACCUACGUCACCAACUAUGAAACAUUAUCUCCAGUUUCUGAAUGUUUUGGAUAAAUCGUGCCGGGAUCAGAUAAUCAAAUAGAUCGUGAUCCAUUGCCAUCAACUCCGUCCGCAACUAUCUCGACAUUACCUCUGAUUUUUGAAUUGAUGCAUGAAAGAAAAGUUUCAUUACAUGAUGAUAAGGAACAAGAUGUGAACAUAAACAAAUCAAAGUUGAUGAGACAUAUGAUUAUCUCCCACAAGGCACUUUGGUGUCUCAGCAACCAGGUCGCCACCGACCACCACGAUGGCUCACCGCGAUGCCCUCCCGCCACCCUAUAUACGACACCAGUGGCGAGAUGGGCGGGAUCUUUUUGGCGUGCCGGCACACAGGAACGACACACACCAUACAACCUGAAGGAUACGUUCAUCAGGCUUGACAUGACCCUCACCGAUGCCGCAUUGCCGCUUCUGUUGCUGGAGAUCAGCCAAAGAGUUAGCUUGUUGCCGCUUUGCUUCAAUGGUUGCUUCAAUGCUCUUCGACUCUCCGUAAUGAGCAGCUGAUGGUGCUUGGACGAAACAAUUGAUCGGGAAAUGGGUAGUGUUGUGCUGGUGGUCAUGUAUCAGCCCACUAUCUAUAAAACACCUAAGAUGAUUCUUCAGGACCCGAUAUAUUCCAAUUACUCAUUUGGGUCUUCUUACUGUGAUACAUGGUUUUACUUAGUAAUCUUAAGAUCAAUUUGUUCGUUUA